AAAUUGAAGAGUUUGAUCAUGGCUCAGAUUGAACGCUGGCGGCAGGCCUAACACAUGCAAGUCGAACGGUAACAGGAAGCAGCUUGCUGCUUCGCUGACGAGUGGCGGACGGGUGAGUAAUGUCUGGGAAACUGCCUGAUGGAGGGGGAUAACUACUGGAAACGGUGGCUAAUACCGCAUAACGUCGCAAGACCAAAGAGGGGGACCUUCGGGCCUCUUGCCAUCAGAUGUGCCCAGAUGGGAUUAGCUUGUUGGUGAGGUAACGGCUCACCAAGGCGACGAUCCCUAGCUGGUCUGAGAGGAUGACCAGCCACACUGGAACUGAGACACGGUCCAGACUCCUACGGGAGGCAGCAGUGGGGAAUAUUGCACAAUGGGCGCAAGCCUGAUGCAGCCAUGCCGCGUGUAUGAAGAAGGCCUUCGGGUUGUAAAGUACUUUCAGCGGGGAGGAAGGUGUUGUGGUUAAUAACCGCAGCAAUUGACGUUACCCGCAGAAGAAGCACCGGCUAACUCCGUGCCAGCAGCCGCGGUAAUACGGAGGGUGCAAGCGUUAAUCGGAAUUACUGGGCGUAAAGCGCACGCAGGCGGUCUGUCAAGUCGGAUGUGAAAUCCCCGGGCUCAACCUGGGAACUGCAUUCGAAACUGGCAGGCUUGAGUCUUGUAGAGGGGGGUAGAAUUCCAGGUGUAGCGGUGAAAUGCGUAGAGAUCUGGAGGAAUACCGGUGGCGAAGGCGGCCCCCUGG
rnacentral:rRNA from 1 species